UGGGGAAUAUUGGGCAAUGGGCGAAAGCCUGACCCAGCAACGCCGCGUGAAGGAAGAAGGCUUUCGGGUUGUAAACUUCUUUUCUGAGGGACGAAGCAAGUGACGGUACCUUAGGAAUAAGCCACGGCUAACUACGUGCC
rnacentral:rRNA from 1 species